rnacentral:rRNA from 1 species
CGCGCAGGUGGCGCGGUAAGUGACAGGUGAAAGCCCUCGGCUCAACCGAGGAAUUGCCUGCCAAACUGCUGCGCUUGAGGCCGGGAGGGGAGAGUGGAAUUCCUGGUGUAGCGGUGAAAUGCGUAGAUACCAGGAGGAACACCGGUGGCGAAGGCGGCUCUCUGGACCGGUUCUGACGCUCAUGCGCGAAAGCGUGGGGAGCAAACAGGAUUAGAUACCCUGGUAGUCCACGCCCUAAACGAUGGGCACUAGGCGUCGCGGGUGUCGACCCCUGCGGUGCCGUAGCUAACGCGUUAAGUGCCCCCGCCUGGGGAGUACGGUCGCAAGGCUGAA